AUUGAACGCUGGCGGCAGGCCUAACACAUGCAAGUCGAGCGAGUGGCGGACGGGUGAGUAAUGUAUGGGGAUCUGCCUGAUGGAGGGGGAUAACUACUGGAAACGGUAGCUAAUACCGCAUACCAUCAGAUGAACCCAUAGGGGAUUAGCUAGUGGGUGAGGUAACGGCUUACCUAGGCGACGAUCCCUAGCUGGUCUGAGAGGAUGAUCAGCCACACUGGGACUGAGACACGGCCCAGACUCCUACGGGAGGCAGCAGUGGGGAAUAUUGCACAAUGGGCGAAAGCCUGAUGCAGCCAUGCCGCGUGUAUGAAGAAGGCCUUCGGGUUGUAAAGUACUUUCAGUCGGGAGGCGUUACCGACAGAAGAAGCACCGGCUAACUCCGUGCCAGCAGCCGCGGUAAUAC
rnacentral:rRNA from 1 species